rnacentral:rRNA from 1 species
GACGAACGCUGGCGGCGUGCUUAACACAUGCAAGUCGAACGGAAAGGCCCUGCUUUUGUGGGGUGCUCGAGUGGCGAACGGGUGAGUAACACGUGAGUAACCUGCCCUUUACUUUGGGAUAACUUCAGGAAACUGGGGCUAAUACCGGAUAGGAGCUCCUGCUGCAUGGUGGGGGUUGGAAAGUUUCGGCGGUUGGGGAUGGACUCGCGGCUUUUCAGCUUGUUUGUGGGGUAGUGGCUUACCAAGGCUUUGACGGGUAGCCGGCCUGAGAGGGUGACCGGCCACAUUGGGACUGAGAUACGGCCCAGACUCCUACGGGAGGCAGCAGUGGGGAAUAUUGCACAAUGGGCGGAAGCCUGAUGCAGCAACGCAGCGUGCGGGAUGACGGCCUUCGGGUUGUAAACCGCUUUCGCCUGUGACGAAGCGUGAGUGACGGUAAUGGGUAAAGAAGCACCGGCUAACUACGUG